rnacentral:tRNA from 1 species
CCUCCUUUCUAAGGAGAAAUAAAUUUAAAGUUUUUUUUAAAACUUUAAAUAAUAUUGUGUACUUUCGUCGCCUACUAAUCCCUUCUUACUUAAUAAAAUAAGUUAAACUUAAUCACGUUUUUCCUUUUUUUUGUUAUACUCUAAAACCAAAUUGUUGUGUAGGUUUGGGGGUGUAGCUCAGUUGGGAGAGCGCCUGCUUUGCAAGCAGGAGGUCAUCGGUUCGAUCCCGUUCACCUCCACCAAUUAUUAAAGCUACGGGCCGGUAGCUCAGUUGGUUAGAGCGCGCGCUUGAUAAGCGUGAGGUCGGAAGUUCAAGUCUUCCUCGGCCCACCAUUAACAAUUUUUUUUAUUUACUUAAGCAAGAAGCUGUUGUUGUAAAUUGUAAAUAUGUAAAACCAACUAAAAAAAUUAAUUAAUUUUUUUUAAUUAAUUAUUUUAAUUCUAAAUUAUAAGAGAAUAUCAAUUUCAUUAAAUGUGCG